rnacentral:rRNA from 1 species
GGAUUAGAUACCCUGGUAGUCCACGCCGUAAACGAUGUCUACUAGCCGUUGGGACUCUUGAAGUCUUAGUGGCGCAGCUAACGCACUAAGUAGACCGCCUGGGGAGUACGGCCGCAAGGUUAAAACUCAAAUGAAUUGACGGGGGCCCGCACAAGCGGUGGAGCAUGUGGUUUAAUUCGAUGCAACGCGAAGAACCUUACCUGGUCUUGACAUCCACAGAACUUUCCAGAGAUGGAUUGGUGCCUUCGGGAACUGUGAGACAGGUGCUGCAUGGCUGUCGUCAGCUCGUGUCG